AUUUUGUUGAAUCCUAUUAGGGAGAAGAUUUAGGAAAGAAUAAGGGUUAAGGAGAGAGAAAUGAAAUUAAACAGAUUUCGUUCUGUUUGCAUAGAAACUGACGGAUACUGCUACCUUUAACCCCGCCUUCAGUCUCACUCUCCCAAGCCAACCAGCCGUUCAGUCCAGAACUAUGUGGAUAUGCCGGACAGCAAGGAUUAGAUUUCAAACUGAGCCGUUGUGUAGAAUUCCCAUUGCAUAAUAGCUAGAUAAUCAUUUUUAUAACGAUUCGAUAUAAAGAUUAAACUUGCCCUUACAUUCCUCUUGAAUUAUUAGCCACCCUUUCUAAUUAAAAGUUGAGUUUUAUUAAGAAGAAUUUACCACAUCAUUAAACCUAUGCUGGUUUUGAAAAUCUAUAGCCCAAGGAUCUAAAAGACUGGCAGGCAGGAAGAGCUGAUUUUAAAAUGUACUGUAGACUUCCAGAAUAUUGAAAUAACUAGAUGCUACUCAUUUAACUCUUUGGCAUUAAAGGCAUAAAUAAGAUGUCCAAGUAUAGAGUGUUAAUUUAAAGUACCCAAAUACUCAAAAAAUUAAAUAUUAUCUUCUAGUUUUGAACAUUUAAGCUUUUUGUGAUAGUCAUAUAGAGAUCAAGUACAGGUUGCUUUUUCCUUCCAUCCCUCUCUGCUGGGUGUAGCAUAAGUCUUUUAAAAGUAACUGGGCUUUUGAAUGUUUCUCACUGGCUAAUUCAUUUGGUUCCAAGACUUUCUAUACGUGUGUAGAUAUUUAGAUGAAUCUUAAGCAUCUGCAGAUGCAUCAUUUGGUAUCAUCCAAAAUGAUUUGCAACUUUUUCUAAAUAUAUUUUUCCACUGGAGGAAUUGAAACACACAAUAAGAGUUACUUAAGGUCCCAUUUGAGUUAGAAAUAAAUGUGAUUAGGAUUUCUAGUGCUUGAAUUUCUAUCCUGCUGCCAAUCCUACUCAGGCACUCAUUUCUUGCUAAGAUUGAUGAGAAUUUGAAUAUGGGUGACACUUAGAUGAUUAGUAGUGUUAUACUUGUUCCUUAGACUUGCAAAUCACUUGCUCUACCCUUGUUGCUUUAACAAAUUUACUUUAGGGACAUGUUAUAACAACACAAAAUCUUAAAAUUCUGGUUGAUUUUUAAGAUCUAGUGUUAACUAUUCUCUAGCAUGUUACUACUGAAAUAAAUCUACCUGUUUUCUCAACAUAGUCCCAAGGUUGGCAAGGCUUCCAGGAGGAUCAACUUGGUGGUUUAGUAGAAAGAGAGCUACCCUCAGUUUACAAAUUGCUGUAGAGGUGUGUCCAAAUCUUCCUGACCCUAUUUGAGGUUUUCUUGGCAAAGAUACUGGAGUGUUUUGCCAUUUCCUUCUCCAGCUCAUUUUACAGAUGAGGAAAUUGAGGCAAAUAAAGUUAAGUGACUUGCUCAGAGUCACCCAGCUAGUUAAGUGUCUGUGUCCAGAUUUGAACUCCAGGCCUUCAUUCUGUUCCACCUAGCUGCCCCUGUUUAAAAGACUGGUUCAAAUCUCUCCUUCAACUCAUACUGUCUGUGAGACCCUAGACUUGUGUUGACAAACCCUUGGCAUGCUUGAAGGAAGUGGAUGUGGAGAACUGUUCUCCUACUCCUCUCCUUAUGCCCCUGAGGACAUUUCUGAUAUCUCCUGCCUCUGACCAGCAACCCAGAGGAAUUGACUUCUCCCUCCCCUGUCUGGGUAAGUGGGGGGUCGGGUUGACAUGCAGCAUGAGGGUUGCUGUUUGAGCACUGGGUCUCUAAAAAGUUUACCAUCACUGCCCUAGACUAAUCACCUACUCUUCCAGUGCCCCAAACAACUCUUUAAGAUUAUUAAAUUGUUGAGGAAGUGCCUCACCAAGAGCUGCUUAAUAUAUAUAGAUAUUGUAAAAUAUACGUAUAUAUAGUCCUAAGGUUAGAGUUUGUACAUUAAAAUAUUUUUUAAAUGCUAUUUGAUUCAUUCAUUUUAUGUUUGAGAAUUUUCAAUCCAUUGUGUGUUUUUUUUUGUUUGUUUGUGCAUUACAAACUAAAGGAAUUAGUUUUGCAUAUUUUCUAGCCAUACUAUCUUCUUUACUCCCAAGCAUGUCAUCCUGGACUCUUCUCUGUUUUUACAGAUGAAUCUGAUGGUUGCAGAAGCUAUAUUUGAAUUUAUGAUAGUUUCUAUAUUUUUUUCCCUUUUAAUCACAAACUCUUCCUCUAUCCAUUGAUAAGAAAGUAUUUCCUUCCUUGUUCCUUAAUUUGCUUAUGAUGCCACCUUUUAUGUAUAAGUCACAUCCUUUUGGAACUUUUCUUGGCAUAUGAUAUGAAAUGUUGAUCUGUGUUUAUUUUCUUGUUGAUAACUCUCUAGGUUUCCCAUCAGUUUUUGUCAGAUAGUGAGACCUUAUCCCAGUAAUUGAUGGCUUCUGAGUUUUAAUGAACACUAUAUUGUGGUAUUUAUUUGUUUCUAGGUAUGUUGUUAUAUAUGUUAAAUAUGUAUGUUACCUAGAUACAUACCUAGGUACAUACAUAAAUCUAACUAUGUAUGCUACCUAAUCUGUAUAUUUCUCCAAACAGUGCUUAUGUACCUUUUAAAAUUUAUUUUAUUUUAUUGCCCUUUGAGGAACUUAAUUUAAUUAUUGGUGUAGAAAAUAAAAUUUUAACUUCCCUAUACUUCCCCUAUCUCCAAGCUACCUAUCUAGUCAGAUUGUUAUCUUUAUAGUCACAGUUCCUGGCUCACUGUCCUUAAUAAAUGAUUGGUUUGAUUAUUUUAUUUUUGGACCUCCAAUUUUUGUUUGGCUUGAAACAUCUAUGUGCCUUUCCCGUUUACUGAGUUCAAAAGAAAUUUUUCUGUAAAUGUAAUCAUACUUUAAUAUUUACAAAUAAGACUUCAAGAAAUCCAAGCUUUGAGAAUAUAGUUCCCAGAAAAUAAGAACCUUAGCAUCAGGAUACCUGAGCUCUAGGAUUGGCUCUGCCAUAAAACUGUGUGACUUUGGGCAAGCCAUGUUAUAGGUGUAGAGUGUUUGGACUUGGAAUCAGAAUAGACUUGGGUCCAGGCCCUGGCUAUGUCACACUCUGUUUCUGUGACCUUGAAGUUAUGAUGGUUUGGGUAAAUCUCUUCAUUAAAAUCAGGUGGUUGGACUAGAUGAUCUCUAAAGUUCUUACUAUCCCUAAAAUUCAUUUAUUCUGUUAUAAUUUAGUCUUUUACACAACCAAGUUUACUCUAUUCCCUUAUUAUAUAUGUUAUUGUUAGCACUUCUGAAGGAGGGAUUUUAUCUGUAGAUUAUUGAACUGAAUUUUAAAAGAAGAAAGUCUAGAGUUGGCUAUAAAAGCACUCAUUCAUUUGAUAUUUUUCAAGCCCCUUUAAUGUAUGAGGUACUUUGGUUAGGCAUAGAGGAAGAUACAAAGAUAAGUAAGUAGUUAACAUCUUUGUCCUACCAUAUAAGACUGUUAACUGACUUAAUAGGAGAAAUAAGAAAUGUAUUCAUAUUACUGUGAUUCAGAUUACAGAUUUCUAUAGGCACUUAAUAAAUGCUUGUUUAAUUUAAUGAUACAAAAUAGAGUAAGCUAAAUGCAUAAGAUGAAUACAGUCAAGGUAAUAAGAUCAUUCAGAAUGAGGAGAGAUCCUUUUUGGUAUAGUAAUAAAGGAAGGUUUUGUGGAGGUGACUUAAAUGUGAGGGGCCAAGAAAAGCAUAGAGAGGGGAAUCUGACCUAGUGUUCUUUUGAGACCCAAUUUAAAAUAUUUCUGUGGGUUUUAAAGCUAGGGCAUACUCAUAGUAUUAUCAACAGUGGAAGGGACCUUAUAAGUCAAGGCUAAAUACCUCAUUUUACAGAUGAGGAAACUCAGGGUCAUAGAGGUGAAAUGAUUGUACUCAAGGCCACACAAGUAGAAGUGCAGCAUCAGGAUUCAAGCCCAGGUCUUUGGCCUCAAAUUCCAGACCUCUUGACAACACAGGAUAGGCACUCUUCAAGGAGCUGUACCAAAUGUUUCUUGUUGGUAUGGUUAUAUUCUGUAAUGUACUUCUUUUGUUUGGUAUCAUUUUGUUAAUUGUUUAUAUACUAAUCAGAGAUUAAAAUUGAAGAUGCCUACUCUUCAAGAGUGAGACUAUCAUGACAUAUAACAAAGGUAGAGUCUUGAUUGUGAUUUGGCUUCCAGGUAUGUAAAGAUAGGGUUCUAUUUUUUAAAUUACUAUUGACAAGUUUGGUUGUUUGUUUCUAGUAAAUUUGCCCUGGUUUGAUGUAUUGCCAGAAUUUGGAUAAACACUGUCUGUGUGUGUGUGUGUGUGUGUGUGUGCGUGCGCGCACAUAUAUUCAUGGAUUUUUAAAGGAUGGUUCUAUCUUUGAGAACAAAUGAACAUUUUUGAGACAUGUAUGAGAAGAAAACUGAGUGCUAUUCUUUCUUAAACCACAUACAUUGUUAUUCUUUUGGUUGAUCUGAGCAGUGAUCCUGGUCCAUCUGUCCCUUGAUCAUUUGGAUUUGAACCUGACUGAACUGGUGGGUAGUUAAAGUAGCUUAAACUGAAGUAUGCCACAAAUAGCUAAAUAUGGAUGCAGAAUCCAAGAGCAUCAAAUGGACAGCAUUUUUCAGAUAUUUAUAGCCUGAAAGCAAAGUCAGUGGCAGGAAAAAAAACUCAGCUGCCUAGCUAAACUGUCUGUGCUUUCUGGUAAACAGUGAGAACAUUUAAAAUUGACUACUUUACCAUGAAUGGGUGGUAAGAGGAGGAUCUUGUACAGCAGUAAUUUAAAGUAACACUCACUAGCAUAGCUUGAAUCAUUAUACAACAGCUGUUUGAGUAUAAUAUGUCUCUACAAAUGCAUGUAAAAAUGUGUUCUUUGGUUCUUGAAUGUUUAGAGGGAAAAGGUAAUUAACUGAAAAGUGAAUCAAGAACUGGAAAUGCUAUGUGUUGAUCACUAAGGAGAAUAUGGUACAAUUAUUAUUAUUUUUUGGUACAAUGUCAUUGUGUUGAUUAUGAUUGCUUUAUCUAGUCAUCACUUAUUAAUGAUUUUGGGGGGAACAUUUUGGAAACUUGAGCAGCUAGCUACUUUUUCAGUAAACAGAUAGAAAAAUAAGUAGCAAACACUAGCAAAUUCUUCAGGUUCAGUGAUGAUGAGAAUUUGGUAAAAUUUUCUCACAAAUUCUCCCAUUUUGGUAGGGCAGAGAUAGUGUCUACUAUGAAACAUUGCCAUUGUUUCAUCAUUUUUUAGGGGGGGGGUCAGAUUUGAACUUGGAUUUUCUUUUUUAUGUGUUAUGCAAUUGUGGCUUUGCCUUAUAUGGAAAGGAAAGAGUAUGAAAACAGGGCUUGGGAGAGGAUAAAAAGAAUUUUGUGACAAAGAAAAGUAGGCUUUAUAAAGAAGAGUAACAAAAAAGUGGUGGCAAGUCAAUGAUCUUGUUCAGUAUCUAAUGCUUUGUAUCUUUAGAAAUUAGUUACUUGGGGCAGUUAGGGAGGUGGCUCAAUGGAUAGAGAGCCAGGUGAUAGAGAUGGGAGGUCCCAGUUAAAAUUUGAUGUCAGACACUUCCUAGCUUUGUGACCCAAUUACUUAAUCCCAGUUGCCAGCCUUCACUGCUCUUCUGCCUUGGAACUUAGUAUCAGUUCUAAGAUAGAAGGUAAAGGUUUAAAAAAAAGUUGCUUAUGAGAAAUAAAUUUUGUUGGCAUUAGAAAUAAGAUGUUAUGUCAAGCCAAAGGUUUAUGUGACAGUUGCUCUCUCUAGUAACACACAAUGAUUUGAUCACUUUUCAAUAGUGAAAGUAUUCAAUUACCAUUAGUACUAGCUGAAUUAAGCUACAAAAUGUUCAGAUGUCUGAUCUCAUGUGCAUUUCUAUUGAAAUAAUUUUUAAACUUUGUGUAACUAGAGAGGUGUUUGGUCUUGCUAAAUAUAGGAGGAGCUGGAAGUAUGCUGAGGACACUACUAAAAUGACUUCAUUCUGGUUUGGCAGAGAAUUAAUUACUUUCUGGUAUUUUGUAAGAACACCUUUCCUUCCAAGGUAUCCCUAAGUAUUUCAUGGAGCUAAUAAAUGAAACCAACCAGCAUGUGUAUCUUACACUAAUGGGAGGUGAAAAGAGAAUUGUAUUGUGUAGCCCAGAAUAGUAGUUCUAGUAUAUGCUAAGAAAAGGAAAUAGAAAUUGAACCCUCAAGAUCACAUACAAGACUUCAGUUGUUAAGGUAUAUACAAAUCAAACAUAUUCCUAAUUUCAGUAGUAAUUUACCUUCAAGGGGGAAACUAAGUGAAUUACAUUCUUAGUUUUCAUUUCAGAUGAAAGGAGAUGAGAAUUCUGCCACAUAUUAGUUACUUGUCUGUCUACUUUGGGCUUAGAAACAUAGUUUCUGAGAUGGUGAUAGCAAUUUCUUCCUUUGUAAAUAGUCUCCAGUAUUUUCUAAAAUCUGACUUAAGUGUUGCUCAUUUAGUUGCCUUUCUCUCCCUUCUCACUGCUUUCCCUUCUCCCUUCUUUCCUCUCUACUCUUCCCCUCCGCUUUAUUCUCUACAGAUGAUUUCUCUAUGUCUCUGAGGCUGGAAGUGCAGAGAUCACUCAUAGGCCCAAUCCCAGUCUGAUUGAGAUGGAAGCUUAACCUGCUCAGUUUUUCUGACCUGUUCCAAGAUUCUCCCUAUAUUAGUGCCAGCCUUAGUUUGAAAUCCUAUGAACUUCAGUAUUACCACAUUUCAGAACUCCUAUAAUCAAGCCUCAGCCUCCCCAGCAACUAAGAUCACAAGCUUGGGCCAUCAUCCCCUGCCCCAAUUAAGAGCCUGUAUAAUUUGAUGUAUUUAGGUUAUAAUAUACCUUAAAAUGCCCUUGUGAAUAUAUUCUUCUUUUUGGGAUACAAUUAUUAUUGAGCAGAUAAGGAGGAAAUUUUGGCCAUACAAUUUAAAUGUCUGGAGGAGCUGAUUUGAGGAGAGAAAAUUGAAAUAAAUGAUUUAAGGCAUUUAGGAGAGACCAUGUUAUCUUGCAAAGAUUGGGAAUCAGGAGACAAGAGUACCAGACUUAGUGAUAUGACCUUGGGAAAAUCACUUCAUGACCUUGGGCGAUGGGAAUUUGGAGUAGAUCACUGUUUCUUUAAACUCUGAAAUUCUGUAAUUCUAUGAUUCUGAAUGCUUAGUACUAUAUUGUAUUUAAUGGAUGUGAUAUUUUCUAAAUGCUUUUUGUAAAAAAGUAGAAACAAGGAAAGAUUAUUUAUAAUGGCAAAAGUAAUAAUUCACAUUUCUAUACUAUAUAAAGUUUUAAGAUUCAGAGAUAUAAGGGAUCUGAGAAAUUAUCUAAUCUAGCCCCCUGAUUUUCUAAAGAAACAUUGAAAAGAAGUAACUUACUCAAGGUCACACAGGCAUUGUCAAAACCAAGAUCCAAAUAAAUUCUUGACUCUAGAUUCAAAAGUUUACUAGGUGCUUUAAUAGUAAUCCUGUGAGAGAGAUAAUGCAAAUAUUUCCUUAUUUACAGAUGAAAUCAGGAUAGUAGAAUGAAAUGUUAAAAGAAGCAUUAAAUUUUACAGAAAUAUCAUUUGAUCUUUUUUUAAAAUCACCAUGUUAUUCUUCUUAAACACUGAAGAAACAGAUGUAAUAAGGGUUGUAUCUUCCCAAGAUCAGGAGUGAAGUCAGUAGCUGAGUAGUGAUGGGAACUCAACUUCAAAUACUCCAGCCUUCGGAUUACUGGUCUCCCUCCCCCCAACCCCCACCCCAAACCUUACUGCUUUCCUGCUUUCCCUUAGGGAUAUGCACUACUAAAGCUGAAGGUCAGGAGAACUUGAUGACAGUGAGAAAUGCCAGAUUGUUAGAUUCACAGUCUUUAAGGGAAAUGACUGAAGCACUGUUACCUAGGAUACUCAAAACAAAAGUGGACAAAACACCAGAAAAUACAGGGAUGAGAAUAACCCUGCAGUGACAUUCAAGAGGUAGGAGAGAUGCCCCAGUAGAUCCUUUUUUUCCACCCCCCUCCCAUUUCUUUUGUCUACUAAAAGUCUUUUGGGAUUUGAAACUGUCAUUCAAGUCAAUUUGAGCAUUUUAUGCAUAAUACUUAGACCCUUGGAUAUGACCUAAUAGCAUUCCCAUCCCCCCCUGCUGUAUGACUCAUUCAAUUAAAUCUUCCUACUGUGGUGCAACAUGCCAUUUUGGAAUGCUCUCAGAUAGAUUUCAGGUGGUACUUUUAUUAAAAUAUUUAGCACACAUCAAACAUAGUAAUUUAAUUAUAAUGUCUUUUUAUAUGUCAACAGUCCCAUCAUCUGUAUAGAUAUUUAAUUGUUCUUUUAUUAGAGAGGAUAGAUUUAUUCUUAUCAUUGGGUUCCUCUUUCACUUAAUGACACAUUCUCUCAAUUGCUGACUAAGACUUAGGGGCAUAGAAUACAUUUAACUGGCCUACUUACUUUGUCCAGCAUUUUGUUCUAACCAGUUGAACUCACUAGCCACAGACAUGUAUGUUUUAGGCAUUAUGAAAAAAACAUUUAUAAGUCCAGCCUUUUCUUCACAGAGCUUAAGUGUCUUGGUUCACUAUAUAUUUCAGAAGGAUUUUAAAUUAGUCUUAAUGAUACUUUUCAUACUUUUUUUAGCUUUCCCCCUCUUUCUCAUUUUUUCUGUUCUCUACAAAUGAAUAUUAAGAGAAAAGCAAGCUUUUUCUGUUGAUAUCCUUGGGAGUUCCAGAAAGUUUAGUGUUUUUGUCCACUUGGUUUUCCUGGGAAUAACUCUUGAACUGUUAGAAGACAGGUUCUAGUCUUGACUUAACUACUUAUUAGCAUUGUGACUUUGGAUAGAUAAAUGACCUAACCUCUUUGAACUUCAGUUUGCAAUAAUUAAAAUUAAUCUUGGAGACUGUAUAUUAAAUUAUAAUGAUUUAUUAGUAAAAAUGAGAGACUGAAAGAAAAAUCACCAGGUUGCCCUAACUAAAAAAAAGAAAAAAAAACUCUCCCCUCCCAUGCUUCCCAGGAUUCAGGAGGAGUGUUAAGCUGCUCCAGAAAAGAGAGAGAAACCGGGCUCCAGUUUGUGGUCUGGGAGAGACUCAGCCAAAAAUGAGAGAAAGUUCAGCUCCCUCUACUGCCAAUGACAUCACUUUUACAGGGUUCUCUGAUUGGAUGAUCUGGGUCACAAGCCCUGACCAGCAGACACAACAGCUCCAAGAGGCACUUCCUAAGUCAGGACUCCAGGUGACCCUGGAGCACUUUAAUUACAUGAUUUAAUGCACAUGGACUGAUUUGAUAACCUUUGGUAUCAGAACAUAAUGCUGAAGAAGAUGUCUGUCUCACCUUGAAAACCCCUUGAUCUAGAAGAUGGUUGUUACACUUCAAAGAAGGCAAAUGAUGGACUCUUCUACUUGAAUUUGAUUUCUUUUUGUCUGAACUGGACAGCCAGUAAGAUAGUGAAUUAAUAAUAUUGGGUCGAACUUUUUUCUUUAGUCUUGAGUUGCUUUCUCAGUAACAUUUCAGAAGUAAGUAGAGUGAACUCUCAUCACCAAAGAGGGCCUUCAGUUUGGAUGUUCUCAGAAGGCUCCCAUUGCUCUCUUCUAUCUGAAACCUCCCCUGUCAACACUUUUACUUUUUCUGUUUGUCUUUAAGAAGUCACAAAAACUUACCAAUAAAGUUAUACUGUUUAAAUGCU